UUUGCCUUUCUUGGGUUUUAUUUGAUAGCUCGCCUGUUUCAAAGUGCUUUUAAUCAGUGACGCCUGGGCAAGCCCACAUUACAAUGAAAAGUGGUUAAUAUCGGACAACGGUCUUAAAACCUCGGACUCUCAUUUGUUUCCUUAAACGGAUUAACGUGGAAAUUCAGACGCGGUUUUCGCUUCAACUGGCAAAAAGAAGUGGACCUGGUGUGACUGCAGCUUCUUUCACAGCCUCCAAGGGCAGAGGGGACACUGACUACUCUGGCAUGAGAAGGUCCUUGGCCAUAAGACAAUUCAGAGAAGAAAGCUUCUGGGGAUGAUGAUAACACUCAGGCUGCACACCAAAAAUGGAUGGCCCUCGGACUGUAACAUGGAUCCAAAAUUGGUGUGAUUUCCAGGUUUCUUGAGGGGUGUUUACUGAUCAUCACAGAGAAGCUACAUGAAAAAUAAUUGGAGAAGUUCUCAUUUCUGCAAAAGAUUUAAGUUGCAUAGGACAUGUUCUUCAGGAAACAACUAUGCAUCUUUGCAGUCCAUUAAUUGACAGGCCUGUAUGAAGGAGAGUUAGACUGAUGUUCAGAGAUAUUUGUGAGCUUUUAUAAUCUUAACUACAGCCACAGCUACCCUGGAUAUGAAUUUUCUGAGUAAGAGAGGAUUUCUGACAUAAAAUGUUGCAAGCAGUAAAAAUGGUGUAAAUGAAAGACUUCUUGCCUUGUGGUAUCUUUUAACUCCUAGAUUCAAUUUGUUCUUCUUUUUAAAACAAGGGAAGCUAGAAACUUAAAAAGUGGAAGUUUAGUUGUCCGUGAAACUACCUGAAUCUAGGAGCAGUAGUUUUGAAAAAGACCCACUGACUAUCAAAAAUAUUGAGCUGAGACCCAGAACAUGAGGCUGUUACUCAGGAAGCCAACACAAAUAGUAUUUUCUCCUUUUAUUGGUAGCUAAUGUAUCACAGGCAGCAGAAUGAGGGAGAAUAGGACCAGGUACUAUCUCAUGCUACUGCUACCAUGGAGGCAUGCCUGGUCUGUAGCAGCGUUACUCAGUAGCAUGCAUCGCCUUCCCCACAAAACACCUUGCACACGAGCACUUUGGAUUAUUAGAAGGUGACUGAGGAUCCUACUGCUGUGUGGAUGUGGAUGGGAGUUUCUCACGGAGCCAUCCUGGGUUUUUAAUCCUGGAUUUAUUCUUUUUCACCCCACAAGCCAUGUUUUACGCCUUCACGGAACUACACAACAAAAAUCGUUAUGAUCAGAUUAAUCCUAGAAAUGAGUCACAAUCUUAAAAAAACAUAUAUAUGGGGCAUAUUCAGCAAGAAAUGCUAGUCAGUUACUACAUUUACUUGAUUACAUUCAUGUAAAUAUCAAUAUAUGCACAAUCAAUAUCUGCAAGGACUGUAGAAAAUUAGGAAAACUAUAAGUCUCAUAGCAUGACAUUUUUUUAUUGUACAGCUAAAGGGAAGUGUGUAUUGACACGAUCUCCAGAGAAAAGCAUCUAUUUAUUAUUUGAAAUGAGCCAUAUCAAAGGACAAGAUGGAUAUUUCUACAAUGAUAAUAGGCAAAGUAGAACUUGUCUGGAAAUUCUGUUCUUUCUUCUUUAAAUAUGAUCUGCAGAAAAAUAUCAUCAAUUGUUUUUAUCCGGCCUCAUGAGCACGGGCUAAGAAACAGUGCACGCAUAAGGGCUUGAAAAUAAAGCUUAUAAAAAACUUCCUCCAUUACAGUCUCCAACAACCUACUUUAAUUUCCAGAGUGUAACAUGCUUUCACAAGUUGCUGCCUGCCACCAUCAUAAUCACCACACGAGUGAUUUCCAUGCAGGCUGGAGAAUCUCAGCUAAGCACCAUUUUAGGGAACACAAGAAAAUGUCUGUUUCUUUGAGGGACAUCUUGAAGCUCUAAAAAAAUUGCAAGACUUGCAUCUGUGUAAACUGUACAACAUUUACCUGAAUGAAUUUGCUCUUUGGAGACUUACAAGUUCUAGACCUCGCUUUGGCCCUUUGGUCAUGGUCCAUGUGCAUCUACUGCUGUAUCUUCCACAGUCUGCAAACAGAGAGAACUAACUGACUGUGAGCAGCC